AUCACCGAAGUCAAGCAUCAUUGGGCGCGGUCAGUACUUGGGUGGGUGACCACCUGGGAACACUGCGUGCCGUU
rnacentral:rRNA from 1 species